UGGGGAAUAUUGGGCAAUGGAGGAAACUCUGACCCAGCAAUACCGCGUGAGUGAAGAAGGUCUUCGGAUUGUAAAGCUCUUUUAUGAGGGACGAAAAAAAUGACGGUACCUCAAGAAACAGCCACGGCAAACUACGUGCCAGCAGCCGCGGUAAUACGUAGGUGGCAAGCGUUGUCCGGAAUGACUGGGCGUAAAGGGUGCGUAGGUGGUUCUAUAAGUUGGCAGUGAAAUCCCGGGGCUCAACUCCGGUGCUACUGUCAAAACUGUGGAACUAGAGUGUGGGAGAGGUAAGUGGAAUUCCUAGUGUAGCGGUGGAAUGCGUAGAUAUUAGGAGGAACACCAGAGGCGAAGGCGGCUUACUGGACCAUAACUGACACUGAGGCACGAAAGCGUGGGGAGCAAACA
rnacentral:rRNA from 1 species